rnacentral:misc_RNA from 1 species
GAUGAAGAACGCAGCGAAAUGCGAUAAGUAAUGUGAAUUGCAGAAUUCAGUAAAUCAUCGAAUCUUUGAACGCACAUUGCGCCCGCCAGUAUUCUGGCGGGCAUGCCUGUUCGAGCGUCAUUACAACCCUCAGGCCCCCGGGCCUGGCGUUGGGGAUCGGCGGAGCCCCCCGUGGGCACACGCCGUCCCCCAAAUGCAGUGGCGGUCCCGCCGCAGCUUCCAUCGCGUAGUAGCUAACACCUCGCGACUGGAGAGCGGCGCGGCCACGCCGUAAAACACCCAACUCUUCUGAAGUUGACCUCGAAUCAGGUAGGAAUACCCGCUGAACUUAAGCAUAUCAAUAAGCGGAGGA